AUUGAACGCUGGCGGCAGGCCUAACACAUGCAAGUCGAACGGUAACAGGAAGAAGCUUGCUUCUUUGCUGACGAGUGGCGGACGGGUGAGUAAUGUCUGGGAAACUGCCUGAUGGAGGGGGAUAACUACUGGAAACGGUAGCUAAUACCGCAUAACGUCGCAAGCCCAAAAAGGGGGACCUUCGGGCCUCUUGCCAUCGGAUGUGCCCAGAUGGGAUUAGCUAGUAGGUGGGGUAACGGCUCACCUAGGCGACGAUCCCUAGCUGGUCUGAGAGGAUGACCAGCCACACUGGAACUGAGACACGGUCCAGACUCCUACGGGAGGCAGCAGUGGGGAAUAUUGCACAAAGGGCGCAAGCCUGAUGCAGCAAUGCCGCGUGUAUGAAGAAGGCCUUCGGGUUGUAAAGUACUUUCAGCGGGGAGGAAGGGAGUAAAGUUAAUACCUUUGCUCAUUGACGUUACCCGCAGAAGAAGCACCGGCUAACUCCGUG
rnacentral:rRNA from 1 species